rnacentral:rRNA from 1 species
GACGAACGCUGGCGGCGUGCUUAACACAUGCAAGUCGAACGGAAAGGCCCUGCUUUUGUGGGGUGCUCGAGUGGCGAACGGGUGAGUAACACGUGAGUAACCUGCCCUUGACUUUGGGAUAACUUCAGGAAACUGGGGCUAAUACCGGAUAGGAGCUCCUGCUGCAUGGUGGGGGUUGGAAAGUUUCGGCGGUUGGGGAUGGACUCGCGGCUUAUCAGCUUGUUGGUGGGGUAGUGGCUUACCAAGGCUUUGACGGGUAGCCGGCCUGAGAGGGUGACCGGCCCCAUUGGGACUGAGCUGCGGCCCAGACUCCUCCGGGAGGCAGCAGUGGGGAAUAUUGCACAAUGGGCUGAAGCCUGAUGCAGCAACGCCGCGUGCGGGAUGACGGCCUUCGGGUUGUAAACCGCUUUCGCCUGUGACGAAGCGUGAGUGACGGUAAUGGGUAAAGAAGCACCGGCUAACUACGUG